GACGAACGCUGGCGGCGUGCCUAACACAUGCAAGUCGAGCGGGGUUGAGGCGAGAGGUAACUCGAGCUUCUACCUAGCGGCGGACGGGUGAGUAACGCGUGGGCAACCUGCCUCAAGGUUUGGGAUAACAGCCCGAAAGGGCUGCUAAUACCGGAUAUGCCUAUGGCCUCGCAUGGGGCUAUGAGCAAAGGGGAAACCCGCCUUGAGAUGGGCCCGCGUCCCAUCAGCUAGUUGGUGAGGUAACAGCUCACCAAGGCGACGACGGGUAGCCGGCCUGAGAGGGUGACCGGCCACACUGGGACUGAGACACGGCCCAGACUCCUACGGGGGGCAGCAGUGGGGGAUCUUGCACAAUGGGCGAAAGCCUGAUGCAGCGACGCCGCGUGAGCGAAGAAGGCCUUCGGUUGUAAAGCUCUGUCUGGAGGGACGAAGAAAUGACGGUACUCCGAGGAAGCCACGGCUAACUACGUGCCAGCAGCCGCGGUAAUCUAGUCUACGCG
rnacentral:rRNA from 1 species